GAUCGCAACGAUUGCGACCCCAGGUCAGGC
rnacentral:rRNA from 1 species